UGAGUAACGCGUGAGGAACCUGCCUCAAAGAGGGGGACAACAGUUGGAAACGACUGCUAAUACCGCAUAAGCCCACAGCUCGGCAUCGAGCAGAGGGAAAAGGAGCAAUCCGCUUUGAGAUGGCCUCGCGUCCGAUUAGCUGGUUGGUGAGGUAACGGCCCACCAAGGCGACGAUCGGUAGCCGGACUGAGAGGUUGAACGGCCACAUUGGGACUGAGACACGGCCCAGACUCCUACGGGAGGCAGCAGUGGGGAAUAUUGCACAAUGGGGGAAACCCUGAUGCAGCGACGCCGCGUGGAGGAAGAAGGUCUUCGGAUUGUAAACUCCUGUUGUUGAGGAAGAUAAUGACGGUACUCAACAAGGAAGUGACGGCUAACUACGUGCCAGCAGCCGCGGUAAAACGUAGGUCACAAGCGUUGUCCGGAAUUACUGGGUGUAAAGGGAGCGCAGGCGGGAAGACAAGUUGGAAGUGAAAUCCAUGGGCUCAACCCAUGAACUGCUUUCAAAACUGUUUUUCUUGAGUAGUGCAGAGGUAGGCGGAAUUCCCGGUGUAGCGGUGGAAUGCGUAGAUAUCGGGAGGAACACCAGUGGCGAAGGCGGCCUACUGGGCACCAACUGACGCUGAGGCUCGAAAGUGUGGGUAGCAAACAGGAUUAGAUACCCUGGUAGUCCACACUGUAAACGAUGAUUACUAGGUGUUGGAGGAUUGACCCCUUCAGUGCCGCAGUUAACACAAUAAGUAAUCCACCUGGGGGAGUACGACCGCAAGGUUGAAACUCAAAGGAAUUUGACGGGGGCCCGCACAAGCCAGUGGAGUAUGUGGUUUAAUUCGACGCAAC
rnacentral:rRNA from 1 species